GCAAGUCGAACGAGAUGCAUCCUUCGGGGUGUUAUCUAGUGGCGGACGGGUGCGUAACACGUGGGAAUCUACCUUAUAGUGGGGGAUAACUUCUGGAAACGGGAGCUAAUACCGCAUACGCCCUUCGGGGGAAAGAUUUAUCGCUAUAAGAUGAGCCCGCGGUGGAUUAGAUAGUUGGUGAGGUAAAAGCUCACCAAGUCUACGAUCUAUAGCUGGUCUGAGAGGGUGACC
rnacentral:rRNA from 1 species